GCCUGAACCGCAGUGGCCAGGCAUUCCUCCAGAACCUCCUCCCACAGGAGCUUGCUACAUGUGCCAGAAAUCUGAUCACUGGGCCAAGGAAUGCCCUCAGCCCGGGAUUCCUCCUAAGCCGCGUCCCAUCUGUGUGGGACCCCACUGAAAAUCGGACUGUUCAACUCACCUGGCAGCCACUCCCAGAGCCCCUGGAACUCUGGCCGAAGGCUCUCUGACUGACUCCUUCUCAGCUUAGCGGCUGAAGACUGACACUGCGCGAUCGCCUCGGAAGCCCCCUAGACCAUCACGGAUGCCGAGCCUUAGGUAACUCUCACAGUGGAAGGUGGUCAGGAAGAAGUCAAAUCUUCUAGAGGAGGUAGGUCACUCCUGCCCCUUAACGCCUCAGUCCAGCUCUCCUCUAGGACCUCAGAGACUCCACUUCGCCCAUUUGCCAGUCAGUUCUUGCACUUUUCCACGGUGGAAAAUAUUCUUAUAUUGCUGCCAGUGCAGAAUCAACCACUGACCUACCAGAAUCCACCAUGGACCUGGAGUCACCCACAGAUGUGUACCUGGAGAACACCCAGGCUUUCCAAAAUGAAGCAAAUUCUCCAUUAGCUGUGAUGAUCACUGCUAUCCACUACUUUCUAAGAAGAUUCUAUGCUUUUGAGCAUGCCUACCACUACACUAUAGGAGAUCUAUUGUAGAAGACUAGAAAAACAUAGGAUGUGCCCAGCUGAGGCAUUGAUCCUGGCUGGGUAGGGGGAAUUGUUCAGGGAUGGGGAAGGGGCACUUCUUAGCUGUGUCUCAUCGAGUACGGGCUCAAUAAAUAAUUGAAUUUUGAGAGUGGUUCUUAUUUUAUGAGAGAAGAAUUGCUUAAUUGUAUUAAGACCUAUGAUAAAUUUAUUUCUCUCUGAUACUUUAUAAACAGGCAUCAAUACUUUACAGGGGCCACAGGAAAACAUGAAAUGAGUUUGUGGGAAGUAAGUUAGUUUUUCUAUUGCUGUGAUAAUAGAUUACCACAAACUUAGUGGCUUAAAUGAGCACGAAUUUAUUAACUUAGUUUUGUGGUUCACAUGUCUGAAAUGAGUCUCACAGGAUUAGAUCCUUGUAUCAAUGCUGAGCUGCAUUCUAGAAGCUUUAGAGAAGAAUUCCAUUUUUUCAUUCAUAUUCCUUGACCUCUUUCCAGCAAUGGCCAGAUGAGCCUCCCGUCACAUCACAUUGUCUGGUACUGACUCGUCUGCCUCCAUCUUCCACAUUUAAGGACCUUUUAAUUAAUUACAUUGGGUCCAUCUGGAUAAUCCAGGAUAAUUUCUCUAUGUUAAAGUCAGUUGAUUGGCAAAUGUAAUUCCUCUUCCCAUAUAAUUCAACAUAUUCAGUGGUUCUGGGAAUUAGUUGUGUGUCUUUGAGAGGCCAUUAUUCUUCAUAGCACACACAAGGUAGACAUCUUAAUCCUCUAGAACUGGUUUGGUUCAAGUAGUGGGUAGACACAGCUUUUUUUUUUUUAGGUUUAUACACUAGAUUUUUGCAAAAGGGUAUGAGUUGGUAUCGCACAUAUUCAUACUUUGCAGUACGUAUAUGCGAACAUGUAAAUGAAAAACUAAAAUGGCAGAAAUUUUGUUUGAAUUUGCCUGCAUUUAUAAAUUGGGAGUGAUGAAUUUUUAGAGUAGGAUGUGGACUCGGGAGUGGGGAGGAAUGCUUUCUAAUUGUAGUCUCUCAUUGUGGUCACUUAUGAACUCCACCUUCCUCUUAGAAAAUGAGGCAGUUAUACCAAUUCGAUUUGAAAGUUUUUUUUUGUUCUUUAAUAUAUAUCCUCAAAUAAAUACACCGAUGUUUGCAAUCAUUA
rnacentral:lncRNA from 1 species